rnacentral:lncRNA from 1 species
AAAGGUAUAUAUGGUUGUGAUAAUCUUUUUGCAGGCAGUCAUGUUCUUUGGAAGAAUGUAUUUGCCAUUUUGGCAGUAUAGUUUUGAUGAUGUAUUUGCUUUUUGAGAAGGCAACUACAUAUGCAUUUACUGUUUUGCAAAAGGCUACAGAGUUCUGUGACUGUUUUGAAAAUGGGCAACAUUGUUCCAAAAAAUGCUUGUACAUGAUUGAGAAACUCUAACUGAUCUUUCAUAACCCAAGGUAACAGUGAUACACAAACUGUCUCUUUAUACGUCUUCCCUUUAGUACAAUAACAGCGAUACUGGGUGCACAUCCAGGUGGAACACCUAAACCAGAAGAGGUCCAGAUUCCUGAAGAAAACAUACGACGUUAUAUAGAAAGACAAGUCAGUCAUGACAUCAUGCUGCUGAAGCUGCCUAAGGCAUACCCUCAGUUCACUACCAUUCAGCUUCCUCCCUCUACAUGCCAGACACCUGAGUUGAAGGAGAAUGUGAGAAUUGCAGGCUGGAGUUACACAGAAGGUGAAUAACACACAGAGUUGAGUGAUGCACAAGAACCUACUUGCAGGAUUUAUAUCAUUUUCUCUUAUCUAACUCCACAGAUGGUAGGUAGAAAGCCAGAGAAACUACAGUGUUCAAAAUCAGGAGACCUCCAAGUCACUGAGUGUUACCCCACAGAAGAUGCUCAAACCAAAAUUCAAAUGCGAUUCUGCGCAGCAGCUCCAGGGAAGAUGGACGCCUGCCAUGGGGACUCUGGAGGAAGUCUGAUGAACAAAGAUGGCCUCCUGUAUGGUGUGACCUCACGGGCUAGUAAAACAGAGUGUAAAGUUCCAAUCAACUUCAUGGAUGUUUGCAAGUACCGAGGAUGGAUAAUGGAAGAAAUCAAUAAAGAUAAUUCAUUGAAUAGUGAGUAAACAAAUGAUGUACUCCAAAUAAAAGGUGUUCUCAGAUCUCCAGAUCUCCUUGAGUGAAUC